CACGGACACCCACAACGGAUCGUCCGGCACGUACCUGCCGGUGGGAAGGAAUC
rfam:Actinomyces sp. oral taxon 178 str. F0338 genomic scaffold SCAFFOLD1, whole genome shotgun sequence.